ACGGCUCCGGCGGCGUCGCCAUGGACGUGGAACGGAGCCGCUUCCCCUACUGCGUGGUGUGGACGCCCAUCCCGGUGCUCACGUGAGUCUCUUCCGGCAUCCGCCUGGGGACGAGGAGGGCCCAGGGAGAACCGGAGUCCAUGCGGUGUCCCUCGGCUGGCCCGGGCUAGCCUCCGGCCCCGACGCGCAGCAAGCGUUUUCCUCGGGUCUGGCCCGCACGUCUCGCCCAGUCACCAGAACCCCGCCGUCCAUGCAGUGCCAAUUUGUGCACACCGUUGGGACACGCUCCCUGCUCUCAAUACACCUGGUGUAGCCGGGUAGAGAGUUGUAGGCCAGCAGGAAAGGGCAAGUGGCUGGGAGACUCGAGCUGUGAGUGUGUAGAAGAGGGAGUCCCUCAUCGGAUCUGAGGAGACAUUUUUAUUAAUUCACUGGUUUAUUCACUCAUUGAGCAAAUGCUUACUGGUCGCUUACCAUAUUCGACAUCCUGCUGGGUCUGGGAGCAGGAGUGGGAGUUUGGCUGGGACAAGAUCCUGGGAUGUCAACAUUGGAAGGGCCCCCAGAGAUCUGGAAGUCCAACCCUUUGUCUCACGUGCCAUCUCAGUUGCAAAGCGGGUUUAGAUCCCAGAUUGUCUGCCUCACAGACCAAAGUUCUUUCUAUAACGUCAGCCUUUGUCAGGGGAGAAGCAGGUGUUCUGGUACCGCUUGCCGCCUUUUGGGAGGAGCUCUCAUAUGGGGAGCUCUCAUAUGCCCUCCUGCUUCAGCCUUGACAGCUGAUAAAUAUAACCUCUCCUCACCGUGCUGGACAGUUUGCCAAGCUCUUAAACAUCCAUUUUCUCAGAAUUAAACAUCCAUUUUCUAAGGUGGGUUAUCUUCUCAGAUGGUGAAGCUGAGCUGCUUGUAGCAUUAAGUGUCUUGAUCAGGUUCGCACCCCAAUAAGCAAAGGCAUUAAGAACUCAGUUUUCUGAUCUAACUUGCUCUUUGCCCUAUGUUUUAUCCACUCUCACCUGAUGGGAUGACUUGUUCCCCUGAUAUCAGUAACAGCCAAGUGGUGAUGUGGAGAAGGGAUCAUUUGGGGCCUUAGGUGUUGCUGAUUCUAAAAAGAUCGUAGUUUUUGAAUUAUGUUAAAAUACUUGAAUUAUUUUGUGUUUUCAAAUACUUACGCACAUAAGAGCAUCCAACUGUUCUUUAAAAAUAAAAUCUUGGGCCAGGCGCCGUGGCUCAUGCCUGUAAUCCCAGCACUUUGGGAGGCCAAGGCAGGUGGAUCGGGAGUUUGAGACCAGCCUGGCCAACGUGGUGAUAAAUUAGCUGGGCAUAGUGGCACGUGCCUAUAAUCCCAGCUACUCUGGAAGCUAAGGCAGGAGAAUUGCCUGAACCCGGCAAGUGGAGUUUGCAGUGAGCCGAGAUUGCACCACUGCACUCCAGCGUGGGCAACACAGUGAAACUCCGUCUCAAAUAAUGAAAUAAAAUCUUAGGAAAAUGUGUACAUUAAUUCAUUCAGUGUUCUUUUAACACAUAUGCUAAGUGACCCCUGUAUUCCCAGAUAGUUCUAGGUGAUGCGAAUAUACACUGAUGAAUAAAGGAUAUAUGGUCUUUACACCUUUGAGAGUUUAAGUCAUAGUGGAAGGAGAUAGACAGUAAAUAAGUAAGCUAAUAAAAGAGCACCUGAUAGUGAUUAGUGCUGUGAAGAAAAUAAAAUAUUAGUGUGAAAAUAACAGGGAGGGGCCGGGUGUGGUGGCUCACGCCUGUAAUCCCAGCACUUUGGGAGGCCAAGGCAGGCGAAUCACCUGAGGUCGGGAGUUCAAGACCAGCCUGACCAACAUGGAGAAACCCCAUCUCUACUAAAAAUACAAAAUUAGCCGGGGUGGUGGCGCAUGCCUGGAAUCUCAGCUACUCAGGAGGCUGAGGCAGGAGAAUCGCUUGAUCCUAGGAGGUGGAGGUUGCGGUGAGCCAAAAUUGUGCCUUUGCACUCCAGCCUAGGCAACAAGAGCAAAACUCCGUCUCAAAAAAAAAAAAAAAAAAAAAGAAAGAAAAUAACAGGGAGGGAUACUCAAGAAAUGUAUUGAUUUUCUUAAAACUGUCUUGUGAUCCUAAACUCUCUUUGGCCUUUCUUAUUCUCAAAAACACCAUUUGUGGCAUGGUCCUCCACAGAGAGUGGUAGCAGCGUGAGGUGGAGGCACCACAAUGCCUGAUCAUCUGGGCCAAAAGCAGCUCAUAGCCCAUUUCUGUUCAGAUCUGUGUACAGGUGUUCAUAAGACAAGAUGAAUAAGAUGCUCUGUUCCUGUCAAACGGUUCAUGUUCCCUUCUGUGUUAGUCCGUUCUUGCACUAAUACUUGAGACUGGAUAAUUUGUAAAGAUAAGAGGUUUGAUUGACUCAUGCUUCUGCAGGCUAUACGGGAAGCAUAGCGGCUUCUGCUUCUGGGGAGACCUCAGGAAGCUUCCAGUAACGGUGUAAAGCAGAGGGGGAGCGAGGCAUCUCACAUGGCGGGAUUAGGAGCAAGAGGGAGUGAGGGGGGAGAUACUAUACACUUUGAAACAACCAGAUCUUGGGAAAACUCACUACCACGAGAACAGCACCAAAGGGAUGGUGCUGAACCAUUUAUGAGAAAGCUAGCCUCAUGAUCCCACCACCAGGCCCCACCUCCAACAUGGGGACUGCAGUUUGACAGGAGAUUUGGUGGGGACAGAUCCAAACCAUGUCACCUUCAAAGGACUUACCUCCAGCAGGAGGGAGGUAAAGGUCAAUUAGCCAUCGUAGUAUUACUGUAUAUUGAUGGUUGCAGAGCUAGGCGUAGAUGUGGCACAAGGAACUCUCACCUGUCUUGAGGAGAGAUCAGAGGAGGAAGUGGAACCCAAAGAUCUGUCUACCCCCUCAGAGAUGUUGGUAAUUCUGCAUGAAAAACCAGUUUAGUGCUCGCCUCGGCAGCACAUAUACUAAAAUUGGAACAAUACAGAGAAGAUUUGCAUGGCCCCUGCGCCAGGAUGACACGCAGAUUCGUGAAGCGUUCCAUAUUUUUGUCACCCUGGACUUCGAACAGGAGAUGGCCACUGCUGCAUCCUCCUCCCUGAAGAAGAGCUACGAGCUGCCCGAUGGCCAGGUCAUCACCAUCGGCAGCAAGCGGUUCCAGUGUCUGGAGGCGCUGUUCCAGCCUUCCUUCCUGGGUAUGGAAUCUUGCGGAAUCCACGAGACCACGUUCAACUCCAUCAUGAAGUGUGACGUGGACAUCCGCAAAGACCUGUACACCAACGUGGUGCUGUCCGGCGGCACCACCAUGUAUCCGGGCAUCACCGACAGGAUACAGAAAGAGAUUAACGCCAUGGCACCCAGCACCAUGAAGAUCAAGCUCAUAGUGCAGGUACUCGAUGUGGAUCAGCGGCUCCAUCCUGGCCUCACUGUCCACCUUCUAGCAGAUGUGGAUUAGCAAGCAGGAGUACAAGUCAGGCCCCUCUGUCGUCCACUGCAAAUGCUUCUAAAUGGACUGCGAGCAGAUGCAUAGCAUUUGCUGCAUGGGUUAAUUCAGAAGUAUAAAUUUGCCCCUGGCAAAUGCAUACACCUCAUGCUAGCCUCACGAAACUGGAAUAAGCCUUCGAAAAGAAAUUGUCCUUGAAGCUUGUAUCUGAUAUCAGCACGGGAUUGUAGAACUUGUUGCUGAUUUUGACCUUGUAUUCAAGUUAACUGUUCCCCUUGGUAUUUGUUUAAUACCCUGUACACAUCUUUGCUUUCAACCCUUAGUACAUGUGGCUUGGUCACUGCAUGGUAAGGUCAGAACGUGCUUGUGGAAGACAAGUCUGUGGCUUGGUGAGUCUGCAUGGCCAGCAGUCUCCAAUCUAUGCAGGGUAUUAAUAUAUCAUGGCUGAGUGUUCUGGGAUUUCUCUGGAGGCUGGCAAGGGCUCCUGAACCAGUUGUCUCUGUCCUGCGGGUCUGUCAGGGUUGGCAAGUCAAAGCCAUAGGACCCAGUUUCCUUUCUUAGCUGAUGUUUUCCUGCCAGAACACUGUGGGCCGUUACUUGCCUUGAGUUGGAAGCGGUUUGCAUUUACACCUGUAAAUAUAUUCAUGGUUCUAAUUUAUGUAAGGUUUUUUGUAUGCAGUUCUCAAUUCUUUAAAGAGAUGAGAACAGAUUUUGUUUUUCGACUGUUACGUGAGAACAUUAGGCCCCAGCAGCACGUCAUUGUGAAGGAAAAAUAAAAGUGCUGCAGUAACCAAAAAAAAAAAAA